rnacentral:misc_RNA from 1 species
GAUGAAGACGUAGCGAAAUGCGAUAAGUAAUGUGAAUUGCAGAAUUCAGUGAAUCAUCGAAUCUUUGAACGCACCUUGCGCUCCUUGGCAUUCCGAGGAGCAUGCCUGUUUGAGUGUCAUUAAAUUCUCAAGACCUGUCUGCUUUUUUGAUAGGUAUUGGAUUUUGGGGGUUGCAGGCUGUUUCAAAUAAAUAGCCUUGCUCUCCUUGAAUGUAUUAGUGGAGAAAAGCCAUUGAACUCCAUUGGUGUGAUAAAACCUAUCAAUGCCAGGAGCAAUAUCACUACUUCUCUCUGCUGUCUAACUGUGACUGUCUGUAUUAAUUAGUAUGGAUGGGGACAACUUGACCAACUUGACCUCAAAUCAGGUAGGACUACCCGCUGAACUUAAGCAUAUCAAUAAGCGGAGGA